rnacentral:rRNA from 1 species
UGAAGAGUUUGAUCCUGGCUCAGAUUGAACGCUGGCGGCAUGCCUUACACAUGCAAGUCGAACGGCAGCACGGGAGCAAUCCUGGUGGCGAGUGGCGAACGGGUGAGUAAUACAUCGGAACGUGCCCAGUUGUGGGGGAUAGCCCGGCGAAAGCCGGAUUAAUACCGCAUACGACCUAAGGGUGAAAGCGGGGGAUCGCAAGACCUCGCGCAAUUGGAGCGGCCGAUGUCGGAUUAGCUAGUUGGUGAGGUAAAGGCUCACCAAGGCUACGAUCCGUAGCUGGUCUGAGAGGACGACCAGCCACACUGGGACUGAGACACGGCCCAGACUCCUACGGGAGGCAGCAGUG